rnacentral:rRNA from 1 species
CGGAGAGGGCGCAUGAGACAAGGGCCCAGGCCCUACGGGGCGCAGCAGUCGCGAAAACUCCGCAAUACACGAAAGUGUGACGGGGCUAUCCCGAGUGCCAUCCGCUGAGGAUGGCUUUUCCCCAGUGUAUAAAGCUGGGGGAAUAAGGAGAGGGCAAGCCUGGUGUCAGCCGCCGCGGUAAUACCAGCUCUCCGAGUGGUGGGGAUGUUUAUUGGGCCUAAAGCAUUCGUAGCCUGCUUGGCAAGUCCUCCGUUAAAUCCAACGAUUCAAUCGUUGGGCUGCGGGGGAUACUGUCCGGCUAGGGGGCGGGAGAGGCCGACGGUAUCCUCGGGGUAGGGGUGAAAUCCUAUAAUCCCGGGAGGACCACCAGUGGCGAAGGCUGUCGGCUAGAACGCGCUCGACGGUGAGGGAUGAAAGCUGGGGGAGCGAACCGGAUUAGAUACCCGGGUAGUCCCAGCUGUAAACGAUGCAGGCUAGGUGUUGGCGCGGCUACGUGCCGCUCCAGUGCCGCAGGGAAGCCGUUAAGCCUGCCGCCUGGGAAGUACGGCCGCAAGGC